ACAUCAAGGAAAAAGGAGAUAGGCUGCAGUUCAAAUGUUGACAUCGUGGUCAAAGAUCAAUAUUUGAUCAAAGAUUCAAAAGAUUGAGAUUCAUCUUAGAGAAGAUGGAUCAAAAAUAAGAAAAAAGGUUCAAGACUGAUCCUGGUAGAUAGCUGUAGAGGUCGGACGCAUGUGCGGUUCAAGAACUUUCAGAUCUACCAUCAUCGGUUGCAGUGUAUUUCAACCCACGCA
rnacentral:lncRNA from 1 species